rnacentral:sRNA from 1 species
AUGUACUCCAUUCCGGUUCCCCAGCGACGUCCGCGCCUACCUGACAACCGCUCGCUGCGUCUUGUCGGCC